AACGUUUUUUCUUUGCGAAACUUUUUUUGGAACGUCAUUGAACAGCGCUGACGACCGGGCCCCGCUGGAGAAUACACCACCAUCCGCCACUGAUCAUGACCUAGGCAGAGCUUCAAACCACAAAUCUGGCAAUCCCAGUCUGUGGGCGGCUCAAGCCAAGAUAUACAUAGACGCCUCUGAAACGUACUUGAGGGAAAAGAGGCAGAGAUAUCCAAACAACCCAAGAGCGAGUGCUCCUCACUGGAACAAAUGCACAUGCUGCAGAUUUACUGUCCUCUGUUUGUCACAACGCCUCUCCAGGCUGGGCACUUAUUUUCACCGUAGCACUGACAAGAAUAAAACAAGAACACCCAGAGAAUGCUCUCCAGCAACAAAAUGGUAAAUAAUACUUGCUUUGACAUGUUGCAAGAAUAGUCCAUUAGUAUUUACUUGCUUUCCUUUUAGAUGUUUUGAAACUGCUUUCCUUUAAUCUGUCUAAAAUAGUAGGCAUCAUUUAGUGAGCUUAAAUAAAAAAUGUUUUGGCUGUUUAAUAAUUAUUUAUUUUGGCUCACCACAUCACAAACCUCCUCAAACUAUUAAAAAAGA